ensembl:lncRNA
UGGAUUUAUUGCAUUUUGGAACCAUAUAUCUUUUUUUGGAACUUCAUAUAUAUAUAUAUAGUCCAGCCGCAGCCCACUCAGGUACAGGCACGAACUGGACAGGGUCAUGGGGCUGGAGGUUAGGUGGUGCGGGCUGCUAUGGGACAGGUGGCCCGUGCUUUUGUCGAUCUGCUCUCUAAUUUUGAUCUCCACNUUUAUUUUUUUGGAAUGUCACAUUUUCCUACAGGGCUCAAGAUUCAUAUACACUGUAAUUUUGCCCCGGGAAAAUACUGUACUCACUGCUACCUCAUCUGACAGGUUCUGAAUCUGUCCUUAUCUAAAAGGACAUCUAUAUAUUUUAUUUAUUUAAUUAUUGUAGAAGGCUGUUUCUCAUUUAUUUUUUCAGCUUUUGAUUAAAAAUACUUACUUACUUUGGGUAACUCAACCAAUUCUCACUAUUAAAUAGUUCCUUAUUAGUAUGCCUAUUAUUAACAUAUUGGCUGUUUAUUAGCACUUAUAAAGCACAUACUCUGCAUGGCCAUAUCCUACAUUCCUACUCCUACCCAAUACCUAAACUUAACAACUACCUUACUAACUAGUAAUAAGCAGCAAAUUAGGUGUUUAUUGAGGCAAAAGUCAUACUUGGUUUGUUAAUAGUGAGAAUUGUACCUUAAAAUAAAGUGUGAUAAAACUUGAAUCUAUGAAAAUUUGGAGUUUAGGCACUAGAUACUUAAUGUAGUUCAUAGCCAAUGACAAUACUUUAGCCCCAAGGUAUAAUUCCAACCUGUACUGCAGCAUACCCAUCAUGCCAUACUUUAACCUGUUUUAUUUUAGCGAGCAGACUAUAUAACCGAAGACACUCUUGCAGUUUUCCAGACACUCACUAACAAGCUCUGUAUUGUUGCUUCAAAAGCUGUUUGCUAAAGCUGAAACCAUGAAGGCUCUGGUCUGCGUUCUUGUUCUGAUGCUUGUGUGCAGCACUACCGUGCACUCCCUCCAGUGCUUCACCUGUGAGGGCGACGACUGCAAGGUCAGAACCGAAUGCCCCCCAUCUGCCAACUUCUGCAAGACAGAGGCCACCGCAAAUUUUUUGUCCCGCACAUGUGAGGAGUCCUGCACACCAGGGGAGAACGUCCACUGCUGCGAUCAGGACUUGUGCGGCUGAACAUCUCUUUGUCCAGUCUACAAAGAGCCUUGUUAUGCUUGAAGAAUCACUCAUCAGUUAUUAAUCAGCAUAUUUAAAAUGUAAACACUCAUCAGUAUAUAGAGAAAAUGUAAUAAGGCAUUAAAAAACUCAAUAAAAAAAUAAUAAAUCCAAUACA